rnacentral:rRNA from 1 species
ACGCUGGCGGCACGCCUAACACAUGCAAGUCGAACGAAGUAGCAAUACUUAGUGGCAGACGGGUGAGUAACAUGUAGGUAUCUGCCCUUUGGCCUGGAAUAACACGAGGAAACUUGUGCUAAUACCGGAUAAGUCUUUACGGAGAAAGCUUUAUGCACCAUUGGAUGAGCCUGCACUUGAUUAGUUUGUUGGUGGGGUAAUGGCCUACCAAGACUGUGAUCAAUAGCUGAUUUGAGAGGAUGAUCAGCCACAUUGGGACUGAGACACGGCCCAAACUCCUACGGGAGGCAGCAGUGGGGAAUCUUGCACAAUGGAGGAAACUCUGAUGCAGCGAUGCCGCGUGAGUGAAGAAGGCCCUUGGGUUGUAAAGCUCUUUCGUCGGGGAAGAAAAUGACUGUACCCGAAUAAGAAGGUCCGGCUAACUUCGUGCCAGCAGCCGCGGUAAUACGAAGGGACCUAGCGUAGUUCGGAAUUACUGGGCUUAAAGAGUUCGUAGGUGGUUGAAAAAGUUAGUGGUGAAAUCCCAGAGCUUAACUCUGGAACUGCCAUUAAAACUUUUCAGCUAGAGUAUGAUAGAGGAAAGCAGAAUUUCUAGUGUAGAGGUGAAAUUCGUAGAUAUUAGAAAGAAUACCAAUUGCGAAGGCAGCUUUCUGGAUCAUUACUGACACUGAGGAACGAAAGCAUGGGUAGCGAAGAGGAUUAGAUACCCUCGUAGUCCAUGCCGUAAACGAUGUGUGUUAGACGUUGGAAAUUUAUUUUCAGUGUCGCAGGGAAACCGAUAAACACACCGCCUGGGGAGUACGACCGCAAGGUUAAAACUCAAAUGAAUUGACGGGGACCCGCACAAGUAGUGGAGCAUGUGGUUUAAUUCGAAGAUACGCGCAGAACCUUACCAACACUUGACAUGUUCGUCGCGACUCUAAGAGAUUAGAGUUUUCGGUUCGGCCGGACGAAACACAGGUGCUGCAUGGCUGUCGUCAGCUCGUGUCGUGAGAUGUUGGGUUAAGUCCCGCAACGAGCGCAACCCUCACUUUUAGUUGCCAUCAUUAAGUUGGGCACUCUGAAAGAACUGCCAGUGAUAAGCUGGAGGAAGGUGGGGAUGACGUCAAGUCCUCAUGGCCCUUACGUGUUGGGCUACACACGUGCUACAAUGGUAUCUACAACAGGAAGCAAGACUGCGAAGUUAAGCAAAUCCCUAAAAGAUACCUCAGUUCGGAUUGCACUCUGCAACUCGAGUGCAUGAAGCUGGAAUUACUAGUAAUCGUGGAUCAGCGUGCCACGGUGAAUGCGUUCCCGGGUCUUGUACACACCGCCCGUCA